rnacentral:rRNA from 1 species
GACAGAGGUUGCAAACGUUGUUCGGAAUCACUGGGCAUAAAGCGCACGUAGGCGGUCUGUUAAGUCAAGUGUGAAAGCCCCCGGCUCAACCGGGGAACAGCAUUUGAUACUGGCAGACUCGAGGAUGGUAGGGGUGAGUGGAACUCCAGGUGGAGCGGUGAAAUGCGUAGAUAUCUGGAGGAACACCGGUGGCGAAAGCGGCUCACUGGACCAUAACUGACGCUGAGGUGCGAAAGCUAGGGUAGCAAACGGG